UCAACAAUUUUAUGAAUCCUAUUGGCCGACUCUCUCACCGUGUUUCGUAAUAGAAUCAUUUUAUGUAAUCUCCCCGCUUUUGGAUUUUCCAACCCUAAAUUCAGUCCUAAAAAUCCUCGAUAUUUGAACAAUCCACCUAUUGCCACGCUUGAUUCGGCUUCUGAAUUUCGACGGAAAUGUCUGAGAGGUUCUCGCCAACUUUAAGAAUCGGGGAUCUCAGUGAUUUUAUUGCGCCGUCGCAGAGUUGCGUGGUUUCUCUUAAAAAGGCCAUCGCUAGAAACCCUGGUAAACCCCAGGUUUCUAGUUCUAGCAGGCAGCAAGCUGAACCAGUUAAAAUAUCACUCAAGGAUUGCUUAGCUUGCAGCGGAUGCAUUACAUCAGCAGAGACAGUAAUGCUUGAGAAGCAAAGUUUGGAUGAGUUUUUAUCUAAUAUUAAUAAGGGAAAAGCUGUCAUUGUUUCACUAUCUCCACAGUCUAGAACUUCUCUUGCUGUUCAUUUCGGCCUCUCUCCGCUUCAGGUUUUUAAGAAACUUACAACAUUUUUGAAGACUUUGGGAGUAAAGGCUGUAUUUGACACAAGUUGCAGUAGAGAUAUAGUGCUUAUUGAAACUUGUAAUGAAUUUAUUACUCGUUACAAACUGAGCCAAGGAUCUGAUGAUGAAAAGUCUAAAGCCUCCUUACCCAUGCUUUCAUCGGCAUGUCCAGGUUGGAUAUGCUAUGCUGAAAAACAACUUGGAUCUUAUAUUCUGCCUUACAUAUCUUCUGUGAAGAGCCCCCAACAAACAAUUGGAGCUACCAUCAAACAUCUCAUAUGCCAAAAACUGGGUCUCAGGCCAGAAGAGAUUUACCAUGUGACUGUGAUGCCUUGUUAUGAUAAGAAGCUUGAAGCUGCCAGGGAUGACUUUGUUUUCCAAGUGGAAUCUCAAGAAACCUGUAAUAAUGAAGGUCUCAUGAUUCCUGAGGUUGAUUCAGUCUUGACAUCCGGCGAAGUCUUAGAUUUGAUACAGUUAAAAGCAACAGAUUUUAAGGCCUUAGAGGAAUCUUCUCUGGAUAAAAUGUUGACAAAUAUUGAUGAAGAAGGGCAUCUUUUUGGGGUUCCUGGAAGCUCUGGAGGUUAUGCAGAAACAGUUUUCCGAUAUGCUGCUAAAAUGCUCUUUGGAAGAAAUUUUGACGGCGAACUGAACUUCAGAACCAUAAGAAAUUCAGAUUUCAGAGAGGUGGUUUUGGAAGUGGGGGGGAAAACAGUGUUGAAAUCUGCACUAUGUUAUGGCUUUCAGAACCUGCAGAACAUUGUCAGGAAAGUGAAAAUGCGAAAAUGUGAUUAUCAUUUUGUAGAGGUCAUGGCAUGCCCUGCAGGUUGCUUGAACGGUGGAGGUCAAGUUAAGCCAAACCCAGGGCAACCUCCAAAAGAAUUGAUUCAGUCAUUGGAAACCAUCUACAUGGAAAAUGUGUUGGUGGCUGAUCCUUUUAAAAAUCCUCUCGUGAAAAGUCUAUAUGAUGAGUGGCUUGAGCAACCUGGUUCAGAGAAAGCUAAAAGACACAUGCACACAGAAUAUCACCCUGUGGUAAAGAGCAUUACUGCUCAGUUACACAAUUGGUAAAAUCUGCUAUGGUUCAAAACUAUAAGGUUUUGCAACUUAAAACUCUCCGUGGGCCCUAUGCCCACUCAAAGCUGCAACAUUGUAGCAAUCACAUAUACAACAGCUCAUCAUCACUGGCCCAUAUCUUCUUAAUUAGGGGCAUUCAAUUUUGAUAGAUUAAACAGAUGGUUUCCUUUGUUUAUCCCUUUUUUUUUUUGGCUCGUAUACAUGCCGUAUAUUAGAAUUUUGUUAUACAUAUAAGAAAGAGUUCUUUUUGUCACUCAAGAACUCUUUAGCUCAGCUUUAAUUCCCUUCAUUCAUGCACAUGGCAUUUGUUUAUGAACCUGUCAUUCUCAUUUUUGUACAAUUGAACAGGUUUUGGGGAAUGCUGGUGCAUGCCAUGAAACGAAAUAAUAGUCCUUGCACUUAUUUUGAACAUGAAGAUCGCUUUCUUUGUUUGCACUGCCCUCAAAUUUUCUAUAUUUUAAAGUGUUAUUUUAGGAAUAAAAUAUUAUUUAAUUA